AGCGUUGUCCGGAUUUACUGGGCGGAAAGAGCGCGCAGGCGGUCGGUCAAGUCGCGUGUGAAAGCCCCCGGCUCAACUGGGGAGGGUCACGCGAUACUGAUCGACUCGAAGGCAGGAGAGGGUAGUGGAAUUCCCGGUGUAGUGGUGAAAUGCGUAGAUAUCGGGAGGAACACCAGUGGCGAAGGCGACUACCUGGCCUGUUCUUGACGCUGAGGCGCGAAAGCGUGGGGAGCGAACAGG
rnacentral:rRNA from 1 species